rnacentral:rRNA from 1 species
UGGGGAAUAUUGGACAAUGGGGGGAACCCUGAUCCAGCAAUGCCGCGUGUGUGAAGAAGGCCUGAGGGUUGUAAAGCACUUUCGUUGGGGAGGAGGGUUAAUUGGUUAAGAGCUGAUUGACUGGACGUUACCCAAAUAAGAAGCACCGGCUAACUCCGUGCCAGCAGCCGCGGUAAUACGGAGGGUGCGAGCGUUAAUCGGAAUUACUGGGCGUAAAGGGUGCGUAGGUUGUUUGAUAAGUUAUCUGUGAAAUACCUGAGCUUAACUUAGGGGAGUCAGAUAAGACUGUUGAGCUGGAGUAUGGGAGAGGGUAGUAGAAUUUCCGGUGUAGCGGUGAAAUGCGUAGAGAUCGGAAGGAAUACCGGUGGCGAAGGCGGCUACCUGGCCUGAUACUGACACU